rnacentral:misc_RNA from 1 species
GAAAUGCGAUACGUAGUGUGAAUUGCAGAAUUCCGUGAAUCAUCGAAUCUUUGAACGCACCUUGCACUCGACUUCGGUUGAGUAUGCCUGUCUGAGAAUCUUUAGAUUUCUUUACCCCUAGGGGUGAGAUUUGAGCUCUUUCAUUUACGUGAAUGGCUUUAAAAGCAGUGCUUUGUUAGUAGCGUCAUGUUGUGACUCACCAAAGUGUAUGAAGGGUCCGCCCAACUUCCUUUAGUGUUAGCAAUAGCUGCUGGUGAUGCCCACCGAAACCUAGUUUCACUAAGUCAGUUUACUGGCUUGAACUUUGGUCUCAGAUCAGGUAGGAAGACCCGCUGAACUUAA